AGAGUUUGAUCCUGGCUCAGGAUGAACGCUGGCGGCGUGCCUAAUACAUGCAAGUCGAACGAAGAAUGUAGCAAUACUUUCUUAGUGGCGAACGGGUGAGUAACGCGUUGGUGACCUGCCCCGAAGUGGGGGAUAACAAUUCGAAAGAGUUGCUAAUACCCCAUGUGAUCCUCCGGUCUAGAUGCCGGUUGAUUAAAGGAUUUAUUCGCUUCGGGAGGGGCCUGCGUCCCAUCAGCUAGUUGGUAGGGUAAUGGCCUACCAAGGCUAUGACGGGUAGGGGACCUGAGAGGGUGAUCCCCCACACUGACACUGAAACACGGGUCAGACACCUACGGGUGGCAGCAGUAGGGAAUAUUGGUAAUCUGGGAAACCGGGAACCAGCAACGCCGCGUGUGCGAUGAAGGCCUUCGGGUUGUAAAGCACUUUUUGAGGGGAUGAGGAAGGACAGUACCCUCAGAAUAAGCCUCGGCUAACUACGUGCCAGCAGCCGCGGUAACACGUAGGAGGCGAGCGUUAUUCGGAUUUACUGGGCGUAAAGCGCGUGCAGGCGGCUCGAUAAGUUGGAUGUGAAAGCUCCCGGCUUAACUGGGAGAGGUCGUUCAAUACUGUCGGGCUAGAGGAUGAGAGAGGGAGGUGGAAUUCCGAGUGUAGUGGUGGAAUGCGUAGAUAUUCGGAGGAACACCAGUGGCGAAAGCGGCCUCCUGGCUCAUAUCUGACGCUCAGACGCGAAAGCUAGGGUAGCAAACGGGAUUAGAGACCCCGGUAGUCCUAGCCGUAAACGAUGUAGAC
rnacentral:rRNA from 1 species